rnacentral:snRNA from 1 species
AUGCUUGCUUCAGUGGCACACAUACUAAAAUUGGAAUGAUACCAAAAAGAUUAGCAUGGCCCCUGUGCAAGGAUGACAUUCAAAUUCAUGAAGCAUUCCAUAUUUUU